rnacentral:rRNA from 1 species
CUUUACUGCAGCUUAGCGCUGGCUUCUGGCAGGGGAUGUGUAGGAUAGGUGGGAGACUGUGAACCGGUGCCGCUAGGUAUCGGGGAGUCAACGUUGAAAUACCACCCUUCCCCUGACGGAAUCCUAACUUGAAUAAGAACACCGCUUGGCGGGCAGUUUGACUGGGGUGGUCGCCUCCAAAAGAGUAACGGAGGCUUUCAAAGGUACCCUCGGCACGCUUGGUAACCGUGCUACGAGUGCAAUAGCAGAAGGGUGCUUGACUGUGAGACAUACAGGUCGAUCAGGUGCGAAAGCAGGAUAUAGUGAUCCGGUGGUUUCCAUAUGGAAGGGCCAUCGCUCAAAGGAUAAAAGGUA